GAGGUAUGUCUCACACAGUAGACAUCUUGUUUUGAGGGAGGUUUUGUCCCUGAAAUCUGACUUUCUCAAUCUUUUCCUCUCAGAUUUUAGGUCCGUGUACAGCUUGACUGGAUUAUUCUUCCCCAUCUUGGAAAUGACCUUAUUUAUUAGAAUAAAUAUGUAUGUGUAGACUCAUACACAAGGUUUGUAUGGAAAGAGGGAAUAGGAAAUUACACCUGUGAAGAUCUAGGAGAGAAUGACAUCUUCUGGUUCUCUCCCAUUAAACAUUUAUUGGUUAUUUACAGGGUACCAGGCACUUCAUUAGAAUCUGGGGAAGGCAAACUCAAGGCCCUGUAUGAGAUAAAAGUGGGGCUGAAGAUGCCCAGUGUGCUGUGGGAGGGCAGAGCAGGCAUGACAGUGCCUAGGAAGAAGAGCUUCAGAGAAAAGAAGGCUCUAAGGAUGCUGUUCUCCACAGGAGGAUUAACCAAGGAAAAAAGCCCUAUAUUCACUUUAUUUAAGUUAAAAGAGGUAUGUGCUUACACUCUGUUGCAUUUUGUCCUCAUAAAAGAAGAAAAUAAAAUGAUAAACAGUUCAGCCAUCUUAUGCCUCCUCCAUGAUCUACCUUGCCCCUCUAACCAGUUCUGUUUGCCUCAUACUUACAGAGGUCUUCUCUCCCUCUCCCUUCCCCUCCUCCUCCCUUUUCUCAGGCAACCCAAAUCACUGCAAAUCUGAAGGUGACUGGAUCAGACAGGGCAGUGAUGAGCUCAUGGCACACUGGAGAGUCCAUGUCCUGAAAAGGACUGCUGCCACUGGUCUCAGCCAGCUCUUGCCCUGUGGAAUUAGGCCCUGAUUUGCCAUGCUUUCCUGAGUUUUCAGGAGAAGGCAAAAGUCAGGAUUUUCUUUCCUCUUCUACCUUCCUCCCUUUUUUCCUUUCUUCCUUCAUACUGGGGUUUGAACACAGGACCUGAUGCUUUCUAGGCAGGCAUUCUACUGAUUGAGCCAUGCCUCCAGCCCCAGAAAGUCAGAGUUUUUA
rnacentral:lncRNA from 1 species